AAGUCUGGUGCCAGCAGCCGCGGUAAUUCCAGCUCCAAUAGCGUAUAUUAAAAUUGUUGCGUCUAAAAAGCUCGUAGUUUGAAAACUUGCCUUGGCUUACAAUAGGUCCUUAUGGGCCACCGUUUGUUGAGCGCAAAUAUGGAUGACUGUUUUUGCCGACUUCAUUGUUGGGCUUAUAAGAGUUAUCAAAUAUCACUUUGAUUAAAUUAGAGUGCUUAAAGCAAGUGUGUUACUUGGAUAUAAAUGCAUGGAAUGAUGGAAUAUGUUGUUGUUCUAUUUGUUGGUUUUUGAACGAUGAAAUGAUUGAAAGGAACUGUUGGGGGCAUUCGUAUUGUUGUGAGAGAGGUGAAAUUCUUAGACCACAGCAAGACGAACUACUGCGAAAGCAUUUGCCAAGAAUGUUUUCAUUGAUCAAGAACGAAAGUUAGAGGUUCGAAGGCGAUCAGAUACCGCCCUAGUUCUAACCAUAA
rnacentral:rRNA from 1 species